AUGCCCUUGACUGGAAUCAAACCCGGGAACUUGCAAUCCACAGGUUGACGCUCUGUCCACUGAGCCAAACCGGUUUUGGCAAGCAUAAGUCUUGACAUAUAAAGGGAUGAGUUAAUGUUAGGAAACUUGUAGUUUCAUUGGUAUUUGCCAUAAACAGGACUAGGUUUUAUAGGGUGAAAAGAAAUGAAAAGUAUAGGUUUAGUUUUAAUGUGGUUUUUUUUUUUUUAAAUCAUUUGUCUGUUUCGGUUGUAUUUGACAUUGAACAUUGUUAGUUACAGGUGUCCAGUAGAGUGGUGAGCCAUCUCUGUGACUUCGGAAGUGGUCCCCGAAGAGGCACAGUGGUGACCUGGGAUUAGUGGAUUCUUGCAGAAGCUAUAGAAGUGGGCAAAAGCCGGAGCGGCGGGGGGCAUGCUAGGAAAAAAGAACAGAUAAUGGUGCAGUGAGGCCUAUCCUGGCAAGGGAAGGCAGGGUCUGUGUUGCUGGUGGGAAUGUAAGAUGUUGCAGAAAACCGUGUAUGUGUGUGUACACCUGUCCAUGUUGUGGGGUGAAGUGUUUAUACGGUUAGGCCUCUCAGUGCGGGAGGUGAGUGCGCAACAGGUACAGCGGCCACCUUGGUCGUCAGAGGGAGCGGUGAGUGAGAGCCCGUGUACAUGUGUGUGUGUCAUUGGCCUGCACAUUCACUUACCCACCAAGUCGACAGGCAUCUGCUGACCCCGGAGUCCGCCCUCUGAAGAUCCGCACACAGUCCCUGCCGUCCGGCUCAGACCAGCAGGAGCGCCCCCAGGCGGUGGGACGCUAGCCCGGAGUUCAUAAAUCGGACAAACCCCUGGGGAGCGGGGACGCCGGCCCGGCCUGACCCACCUGGGAGGAACCCGCUGCCACCCAGCAGGCCUGGCGGGCCGGGCCUGACAGGACCUGCAGCUGGGCCUGACCUACCUGCAGAGGAGCCCGCUGUGGUCCACAGUGGCCUUGGGGCCGGGCCUGACCGGUACGGGGCCGUGUUCGUCCACCACGAAAGAGUCCU